rnacentral:tRNA from 1 species
AUGUGGACGCAUGGUGUUAACUGGAAAGCUGCAGCUGAAGUUAUGGUGCAGGGAAUGGGCAGGACCUGCCCAGCCAAUGUCAAAAUCGAGGCACGACUGACACCAGAUGCUGACCCAAAGGUAACUACUCAGGGGCAGGACGCUGAUCUGGGACACCUGCAGGAAGUCCCCAUUCCAGAGCAGGCCAGGACGAGUUUCUGUGAGAGCAAAGCAUCAGUGAGGUAUGUGAAUUCAUUUUCGUCUCUGGUGGGCAUGGUCAAGGUGAAAACCUUGGGACUGGGUCAUAACAAGGUUCAACAAAUGCCACCAUUAAAUAGCAGGCAGAGUGUCUUCUCUGACUGUGGUCUGGGGACAAAUCAGACUCCAUCCUUGUGAAUUUCAGAAUCAGUUUAUUUAACUCAAACAUGUGCAUACAGACAUACACACAGCUUUUGGGAUUGUAAUUGGGAUUGCCUUGAAUCUAUAAAUCAGUUUAGUAACAUAUGACAUCUUCACAAUAUUGAAUCUUCUAAUCCAUGAACAUGGUAUCUCUCUUCGUUUCUUCAUUUAAGUCUUCUAAAAUUUAUCUCAAGGGGUGCCUGGGUGGCUCACUCAGUGGAGCAUGAGAUUUCUGAUCUCAGGGUUGUGAGUUCGAGCCCCACAUUGGAGGUAGAGAUUACUUAAAAAUAAAAUCUUAACAAAAAAUAAUAAUGUUUUGUAGUUUACAGAGUAGAGGUCUUAUACAUAUUUAGUUCUGUUUAUAACAAUAUAUUAGAUAUUUUUGAUACUAUUUUGUUUUUGUUUUUGGAGAGACAGAGAGAGCAUGAGAUGGGGGGAGCAGCAGAGGGAGAGAGAGAAUCUUAAGCAGGCUCCCUACUCAGCAUGGAGCCCAAUGUGGGGCUCCAUCUCACGACCCUGAGAUCAUGACCUGAACCAAAAUCAAGAAUCUCAUGCUCUACUGACUGAGCCAGCCAGGCACCCCUUUUUGAUACUAUUUGAUGGCAUCAUUGUAAAAUUUCAUUUUCUAUUUGUUUGUAGUAGUGAUGAUAGGAAUAAAUUGAUUUCUGUAUAUUGACCUUGAAUCCAGUGAAAAUUCUUAUACUUCUUAUUCUUGUAGUUUGUCUGUAGAUUCUUUGGACUGUAUGUAUCUAGUGAUCUACAAAUAAAAACAAUUUUUUCCUUCCCAAUUCUUUUGCCAUUUAUUCCUUGGCUCCUUUGAGACAUCAAGGGAGAAAGUAUGAUAUUUGCCGUAGGAUUCUAUCAAAUUGGGGAAGUCCCCUCUUUUCCUAGUUUUCUGAGAGUUUUGUUUUAAAUCCUGAAUGGAUGUCUACUUUCAUUAAAUAUCUUUUCUGUACCUACCUAAAGGAUAAUAAAUCAUUUCUUCUUUUUAUUCCUGUAAAUAUAAUGAAUUACACAGACUAAUUUUUUUUUCAAAAUGUUAAGAUUUCUGAAAUGAUAUAUUUUCUUUUUUAUAUAUUGUUGGACUUGAUCUCCUAGAUUUUUUGAGGAUACUUGUGUCUUCUGUGCAUGAGAGAGCUAGACGUUUGUUUUUGCAAAGUUUGUAUCAGGUUUGGGUGUCAUGGUGAUAGUAGCUUCAUAAUGCAGGUUGGGGUGUGCUGACAAUUUUUUACAAUCUCUUCAGAGAGGGUUUGUGGUGACUUGGAAUCAAUGGUAGUGUGAAAAUAUCAGCUUUUCCUGAAUUCAUCCACAGCUUGGUCCAACACCAAACAAAGUCUAGGCAAGUUCCUUUGUGGAAACUAAGAGCCUGAUUUUUAAAUGCAUACAGAAAUGCAAAGAGCCAAAAAGAGUACCCUUGAAGAAAAACAAAGCUGAAGUCCUUAUACUACCAGAUAUGAAGUUAUUAUAAAGCUAUAAUCACCAAAACAGUGUGGUAUGUGCACACGAACAGACCCACGGCACAGAACAGAGAAUCCAGAACUACCCACCCAUGGAUGGUCAGGUCAUAUGACUUGUGAGAAAAGCAACACUGUAGUGCAAUGGGGACGGUCUUUUCAAUACACGCUCUUGGGUCACCUGGAUAUACACAGAGGGGAAAACAAACAAACUUUGACAUCUACCUCACAUGGUAACACAAAAAUCAAUUCCAUUGAGAUCACAGAUCAAAAUGUCAGAGGCACAAAAAUAACACUUUUAGAAAAAGCAGAGGAAAGUAUCAUCAUAACUCUGACCUGAGCGAUAUUCACUCGUAACUGCUAAAUAAAACAUAAAAAGGACUAGCCAUAAAGAAAAAGUUUGACACACUAAAAUACACGGAAAUUAAGCGGCACCUGGCUGGCUCAGUCGGAAGAGUGGGCGACUCUCGAUCUCAGGGUUGGGACUUGGAUCCCCGCAUCGGGUGUCGAGAUUACGUAAGAAAAUAAAUAAAUAAACUUAAAAAUAAAUAAAUAAAAUAUAUUGAAAUUAAGAACUUCCAUUCCUCAAAAGACACCAGCAAGAAAAGGAAAAGGCAAAUUCCAGACUGGGAAACAUCAUUUUCCACACGGCUCUCUGACGAAGAACUCAGAUUCGGGCCAUGCAGUCACUGAAUCAGUAAGAGAAGGGUGGACCACCCGAUGGAGAAGGAGGGUGACAUCUGAGUGGCCACGAGACAGACCCGUGAAAGGAUGCUGAACUCCACUACACAUCAGGAAAAUACUAAUUAGGCUUGGAGGUGGUCAUUGAGGACACUCACUCUGGAAACUGGUUGCCAGCAACUACUAAGGCACCUGGGUGGCUCAGUGGGUGGAGCGUGCAACUUUUGACCCCGGAGUCAUGAGUUCGGGGCCCCCGUUGGGCAUAGAGAUUACUUACAUACAUACAUACAUAAAUAGAGGAAGACUCUAGGACACAAUGACAGCACACUCCUUUCUUACUUAAAAAAACAAAAUUUGAUGGAAAACCCACAAAAUUUGAUGGAUGGUUAAGAGGGUCUACAAAGUUUUAUAAUAUAAUUUUAAAGUGUGAUUUUUUUUCCACAAUCUUUUUAAAAGUUCAAAUUUCAUAUGUCUGUGUCCUCCAUAAAUCUAAACCUAAACAGUCCCUUAAAGGUAAAGGCUCGAAAUGGAAACUCAGCCUAAAAUGGAGCGGGCCUUUAUGUCACAAUCUGUAAGGUUGUCAAGCACAGUAGUUAAAAUGGUACAAUGCAAAAAAUGAUGAAAUCACUCAUGUUUGCUUUCCUGGCGGUGACCGAUAUCCACAGGCAUGCUUUUGCCAACUGACCGUCAAUUCUGAAAUAUUUCACUACUACCGAAUGUCAUAAUUUCAAAAGAGAAAUAAAAUAAAAAGAGUGAAGGAGCUUUCAAAACGGAAAAAUGCAUUUCAAAAUGGAAAAAUCCCCCAAAACAUAAUAUGGAGUGAAAAUACAUACAAGUUCCAAAAGAUACAUACAGCGUGAUAAAAACAAGAACGUGCACGGACCACGGACACAUACGCAUCUAGGAAAAGUAUAAAGUCUCACGUGCAAUAAUACUCAGCACCAUCAGGGCAGGUCGGGGAGCAGGGCGGGCGGGACCAGUGAGGCUUUAGUUGUAUCUACUAAAACACAGGAGCACCUGGCCGGCUCAGCCAGAACAUGCGACUCUUGAGCUCAGGGCUGUGAGUUUGAGCCCCACGCUGGGUGUAGAGACUACUUAAAAAAAAAAAAAAAAAAAAAAAAACUUUAGGGGAGCCUGGGUGGCUCAGUUGGUUAAGCAUCCAACUCUUGGUUUCAGCUUGGGUCAUGGUCUAGGGUCAUGAGAUCGAGUCCUGUGUCAGGCUCCACACUCAGUGUAAAGUCUCCUGGAGAUUCUCUCUCUCCCUCUUCCUCUGCCCCUUCCCCAAUCCAUGCUCUAAACAAACAAACAAAUAAAAUACUUUUGGGGGGGGGGCGCCUGGGUGGCUCAGUUGUUAAGCGUCUGCCUUCAGCUCAGGGCGUGAUCCCAGGGCCCUGGGAUCGAGCCCCACAUCAGGCUCCUCCGCUGGGAGCCUGGUUCUUCCUCUCCCACUCCCCCUGCUUGUGUUCCCUCUCUCGCUGGCUGUCUCUCUCUGUCGAAUAAAUAAAUAAAAUAUUUUUUUAAAAAAAUCUUUUUUUUUUAAAGGAAUUUUAGGGGCACCUGGCUGGCUCAGUGGGUAGAGCACACAACUCUUGAUCUCUGGGUGGGGAGUUCAAGCCCCACACGGAACAUACAGCUUACUUCAAAAAAACAAAAAGGAAUUUUAUACUAUUAAGAAAGUAAGAAGGCAAGCCACAGACUGGGAGAAAAUAUCUGCAAAUAAUAUAUAAUAAUAAUAUUAUUAUAUAUUGAUAUAUAGUAA